UGCAUAUCAAUAAGCGGAGGAAAAGAAAAUAACAAUGAUUCCCCUAGUAACGGCGAGUGAAGAGGGACAAGCUCAAAUUUUAAAUCUGUUAGGUUAUACCUAUCAGAGUUGUAUUUUGAAGAAGCGUUUUCCGCGUCUCGAUUGACCCAAAUCCUUUGGGAUAAGGUAUCAUGGAGAGUGAGAAUCCCGUUCGGUUGACCUUAUGACGCUCUACGAUACGCUUUCAAAGAGUCGAGUUGUUUGGGAUUGCAGCUCAAAAUGGGAGGUAAAUUUCUCCUAAGGCUAAAUAUCGGCGAGAGACCGACAGCGAACAAGUACCGUGAGGGAAAGAUGAAAAGAACUUUGAAAAGAGAGUUAAAUAGUACGUGAAAUUGUUGAAAGGGAAACGAUUGAAGUCAGUCGUACCGACGAGAAAUCAGCUCCUUGUGCGCUUUCUUGUGGGCGUGCGUGAGUUUUAACGCCUCGCCGUUUGCAAUGUUUGUGCAUUUUUGGGUGUAUUUUUUCGUAUGGUAGGCCAAUGUCAGUUUCGAUUAUCAUAAAAUGAUCGGAGGAAUGUAGCUUUGACUUCGGUCGAAGUGUUAUAGCCUCUGGUAGAUGUGAUGAACGAGACUGAGGAUUGCAACGAAUACCCUCUGGGCUAUCCGUCUGACCUCUGAAAGUCGCUUAGGUGCCGAAAGCUUGCUUACGGUUAUUUAAGUUGGCGGUCAAAAGGUUAGAACGCGAUUAUAUUCGUUAAGGAUGUUGACGUA
rnacentral:rRNA from 1 species